AUUGUCCAGUGUGCGUGCAUCAUAUUACGCGAAUGCCAGCAAAACCAGUGAACUGCAUCAGAAACACGUGGAUGUUAUGUCAAACGACAAUGCUUAAAAACAAUAACGGUAUAAGUAAUUUUAGUUUACCUGGCUUGAGCGGUCCUCCAUCAUCCCAACUCUCGAAAAAGUACCGUUAGCCUUCAAUUGCAGAUUCCCAUUUCCUAUUGAUUAGUGAAGUACAACAGAGAUAUACCGUGCCAUCAGGUAAAAAGCGAUUACAUCGCUGAUGUUGUCGGGGGAGGGGGCAAAAGGUUGUAAAGUUGCUCACGUUUGAAGGCCAGGGCGACUGACAAUACAUUUGUAGUGUCGGAAAGGACAUUUGCAGCAAGACAAAUGUUGAAAAUCUUCCGGAGAAGAAACCUCAAGUAUUUUAACUGCACCGGGUCCCAGAGAGGCAGUCCUAUGUGAAUUUCUAACAGGUGUAUCCUUCAGCCUGCGUUAUUUCAGAGCUGUAUCAUUUUAAUCUUUGAAUGAAAAAAUUUAUAAAGGGAAACAGGAUUCUACAAGGAUGACGGUGGUCCCCUAUUUGGAGGGAUGCAACUACACUUUUCUCUCACAAGAUGUCAGCAUCUCACCAGGUCUGUUGGCUGAAACCAGGGACCCUCUACACAAAUCGACAACAGUCACCCAUGAAGCAUUGGUACCUAUCGCUCCACAGAAGUCAUGGUCUUUGCAAAGCAAGGGGAACAAUUACUCCAAGGUCUCAGAGCAAGUGACACUAACUAGCUAGCCAUUUCACACCGGUUACACUCACCACCCCCCUUUGACCAUCUCUAUAGCAACCCCAGCUGCUGGGCAGAGCCCAACUGAGUGAACCAGGUCACGGCACCAAUAUAACAGCAUUGCUUCCGUCCCUCGACCCAGGGUCCCUCCGCACACACCGCCCCUGCAGAGCAAGGGAAACAACUACUCCAAGGUCUCAGAGCGAGUGACGCUAACUAGCUAGCUAUUUCACACCAGUUGCAUGUGCGCAAUGGUGUUUCCCCCCCCCCCCCCCACAGUUGUGUUAGUACUCACCUGUAUGGCAUGUAAUGGGGUUACCUGAAGUGAGGGUGUAUGGGAUUUUGUAGUGUAUAUGCUGGUGGAUGUGGUUUGAUGGGGACACAGGGUUCGAAUUGCUUGACUGUUUGGUGAUGGUUUUGCUUUGUAGUGUGACGUAGCCAGGCAUCACUACAGAUGUCUCUGUGUCUGAGUCUGUCAUUAAAGGAGUGUGUCAUUCCCACUGCUAGCCAUUCUCCCUCACAUCUGCAUAUCAAGGUCUGCUAUCUCUCUCUCUCUGUGUGUGUAACACAUACAUCCUGUAAAACAUGUUUUAAAGACCAACCGUGUGUGAGGGUGGUUGGGUCGGUGGGUGGUCUGUGUUGUGGUGCUGGUGUGUGUGUGUUACCGUUGGUAAUUAGAUGUGUUCAUUUGAGUCUGAGGGGAAUAAGAAUUGGCUUUGAACUUGCUUGCUCUGUGAUCCACUGUGUGAUAGCAGGGGCUGUCUGUCUGGGUCCAAAACAACACAGUGGGGGUGGUGGAUAAACCGUGGUUGGAGAAUUGACUACUGUGGAGUAGUUUGGCCAUGUCUUUGCAGGGGUGCACUGCACCUUCGGAUGACUUUUAUGGAUUUCUGAUAAUGGCUUUCGGAGCAGCUUGUUAAUUUCCCUCUGCCCCAA